CCUACGGGAGGCAGCAGUGAGGAAUAUUGGUCAAUGGGCGCAAGCCUGAACCAGCCACGUAGCGUGAAGGAUGACUGCCCUACGGGUUGUAAACUUCUUUUAUAAAGGAAUAAAGUGAGGCACGUGUGCCUUUUUGUCUGUACUUUAUGAAUAAAGAUCGGCUAACUCCGUGCCAGCAGCCGCGGUAAUACGGAGGAUCCGAGCGUUAUCCGUACUUAUUGGGUUUAAAGGGAGCGUAGAUGGGUUGUUAAGUCAGUUGUGAAAGUGUGCGGCUCAACCGUAAAAUUGCAAUUGAUACUGGCAGACUUGAGUGCAGAUGAGGUAGGCGGAAUUCGUGGUGUAGCGGUGAAAUGCUUAGAUAUCACGAAGAACUCCGAUUGCGAAGGCAGCUUACUAAACUGCCACUGACACUGAUGCUCGAAAGUGUGGGUAUCAAACAGGAUUAGAUACCCGUGUAGUC
rnacentral:rRNA from 1 species